rnacentral:rRNA from 1 species
UACGUAGGGGGCAAGCGUUUGUCCGGAUUUAUUGGGCGUAAAGAGCGUGUAGGCGGUUUGGUAGGUCCGCUGUGAAAACUCGAGGCUCAACCUCGAGACGCCGGUGGAAACCAUCAGGCUAGAGUCCGGAAGAGGAGAGUGGAAUUCCUGGUGUAGCGGUGAAAUGCGCAGAUAUCAGGAGGAACACCGGUGGCGAAGGCGGGUCUCUGGGCCGAUACUGACGCUGGAGGAGCGAAAGCGUGGGGAGCGAACAGG